GUUUGUGCUGGGAGCUGGUGGCGCGGUGCAGGGCUCUUAAGAACGAACGGCUUGGGCGCGGACUGGUAUCCGGGGACUGUGACUUGCAGGGUCCGCCAUGGAGCCAGAGCAGAUGCUGGAGGGACAAACGCAGGUAUCAGGAGGCCGUGGAUUCAGGGUGGCGGUGUGCAGGGAGGCAGCGAGAAAGGGGGGACUUAUAUCUCUGUGACCGGUGUUUUGUUUUCUAGGUUGCAGAAAAUCCUCACUCUGAGUACGGUCUCACAGACAACGUUGAGAAACCCCGGAGAGCGGAGCGUGCACGUUGAGAUUCCUCGGCGGGUAGGCAGCGGUGCUGGGCAUGCUCAGUGGGCAGGACCCGUUAGAGUGGCGAGCACGGUGGCUCACGCCUGUAAUCCCAGCACUUUGGGAGGCUGAGGCGGGCGGAUCACGAGGUC
rnacentral:lncRNA from 1 species